rnacentral:piRNA from 1 species
UGAAAGUGCAAGGUGUCUUAUGGGAUUUGA